CCAGACAGGAGAGACCCUGGGAGUGGAUCUCAAGGUCACCGUCACCUGGUUAGUCAUAAAAGCCACUGCCAGCAGCCGUCUCUGCUCAAGGGAAACCGAACCCUUUUGGACUUGGACUCAUUCAGAAGAGACCCUGUCUGCCGACCUCCUAGCAAACCCAGGCACCAUGGCUUUUUGUUUCCGGAUGGUCAGCGGGUCACGGCAAGCGGGAGAUGCAGUGCUAAUGACUCCAGCUCCACGUGGCCACCAUUCAGGAAAAAGCGGCAAUGUUCUCCCUGCCACAUUAAUCAGAGAAGCACAUCAAGAGCCGUUGCGCGGAGACAGCUUCCCUCCUGGUACCUGCCCUGCAUGCUAAUCACCAGCCUCCUGGCGGUUCUGACUCCCUCCCAAGCAGAUGCAGUUCUACUGCAAGCCAACAAGACCUGAAGAGCCACCCUGCCUUCCUAAGACCUUUGGAAACAAUUGCCCACUCUGGCUGCCAGGGCCUGGUCAGCUCAGCCUGAGGAUGGGGGACCCCACUGGGUAUCACCUCCUCCUCUGCGCCCCAGUAUGUGUGUGUGUGUGUGUGUGUGUGUGUGCGCGCGCGUGCGUGCGCGCGUGCUGUCUUUUUGUGUGAGCUGGGAAAAGGGAGGAAGCAGGCUGCUUUCCAGAGGGGCUUGCUGCCCUCCUGUGGUACCUGCACCUCUCCUUCCCUCCCUCCUGAUGCUGGAGGCCUGUGGUCCAGCAGGGGUAGAGGAGGAGGAGGAGGAGGAGGAAGAGGAAGAGGAAGAGGAGGAGGAGGAGGAGGAGGAGGAGGAGGAAAUGGGAGCAGA